AUUGAACGCUGGCGGCAGGCCUAACACAUGCAAGUCGAGCGGAUGAAGGGAGCUUGCUCCUGGAUUCAGCGGCGGACGGGUGAGUAAUGCCUAGGAAUCUGCCUGGUAGUGGGGGAUAACGUCCGGAAACGGGCGCUAAUACCGCAUACGUCCUGAGGGAGAAAGUGGGGGAUCUUCGGACCUCACGCUAUCAGAUGGGCCUAGGUCGGAUUAGCUAGUUGGUGGGGUAAAGGCCUACCAAGGCGACGAUCCGUAACUGGUCUGAGAGGAUGAUCAGUCACACUGGAACUGAGACACGGUCCAGACUCCUACGGGAGGCAGCAGUGGGGAAUAUUGGACAAUGGGCGAAAGCCUGAUCCAGCCAUGCCGCGUGUGUGGAGAAGGUCUUCGGAUUGUAAAGCACUUUAAGUUGGGAGGAAGGGCAGUAAGUUAAUACCUUGCUGUUUUGACGUUACCAACAGAAUAAGCACCGGCUAACUUCGUG
rnacentral:rRNA from 1 species